rnacentral:rRNA from 1 species
UUUAAUUGAAGAGUUUGAUCAUGGCUCAGAUUGAACGCUGGCGGCAGGCCUAACACAUGCAAGUCGAGCGGUAACAGRGAGUAGCUUGCUACUUUGCUGACGAGCGGCGGACGGGUGAGUAAUGCUUGGGAAUAUGCCUUUUGGUGGGGGACAACAGUUGGAAACGACUGCUAAUACCGCAUGAUGUCUACGGACCAAAGUGGGGGACCUUCGGGCCUCACGCCAAAAGAUUAGCCCAAGU